rnacentral:lncRNA from 1 species
AAUUACCAUAAACCGUGAAGUAAAAUUUCAGUUAAAAAAAAAAAAAAUUGUCUUUAAAUCGGGUCGACUAUGAUGGGGAAGAAAAUGAAUUUUGAAAAUCAUUUUUCUUCAUUGGAAAGUUGAUCUUUUCUGAUUCUUGUCGGAAGGAUUCCGAUUUGUUCGAAGAUUACGCCGCUUAUAAACACGAUAAAUAAAUUAGUGCAAUAUAUCUGGAGGAGAGAACUGACUUUACGAUAUCGGCCAUUAAAAAGUAGUAGCAGUCACAACUCGCUAUUAUUUACUUCCAUAGUAGAAUUUUUUCAUUCUUUAGUGUGAUAUCGAGUCUUAUAAUGUAAAAGUUGCCCGAUUUUCCUCUUACCUGUUUUAAAUAUCGGGCAAUACGGAGUAAAAGAUUUUUUUCUAUUCUUUACCUAAUAUCAGAGACUGUAAGGUAAAGCGGUCAAGUUUUUUCCCAUUCUGACUCUCUUAACAGCAUUGUACGAAAACAAAAUUUCGCAUGUUAAAUAUCAGAAACAGACCAGCCGAAAAAAAAGAUGCGAUUUUAAAUUCAGAAUAUUAAUUCUAAGAAAAAUAUAUUUUUGAAAGAUGAGAAAUGCUACUGUGAUUAAGUUCAUUCUUUUUCUCCUCUGCUUUCCUUUAAAUUCCUGAUAAAUGACUUUUUGUGUUUUCCAAUAAUUUUAAAUCGUGUUUGCUCAGAGUAUUUUCUUGUAAUUUGUGCCGACUUCAAAUAAGCGUUAGGAGUGCGAUAAGGAAAAAAAAGAGGUUUAUUUAUAAUUUAAAGGCGAAACAAUUUUGAAGCAAAGUUAUAAAAGUGCAAAAAAAAUGCGGAAAGAGAAGAAUAAUUUCCUUUUCUGUGGCUACAGUAAUAUAAUAAUAUUGGCAAACUGAUAGAAUUUCCAUAAUUUCUGCCGUAUAGGAGAGAAAAAACGGAAAUUUUUAAAAAGUUACAUUAAUUUUAGAUAAUGAAAUUCUGGCCGGUAGAUCGUAAAACGGAAACAUGAAUUUUGGAUUUGUUUAGCGUUAAUCCUCCAAACCGAAUAUCCGAAAUUGGGGCAGCAAUCGAUGGAAAGUUACGAAAGUGUGUCUGGUAACGAUUGUCUUUUAGCUGGUAGCUUACGUAACACUCUUAAUUAUCAGCAUCCGAUAAGAGGAACCAUCUUCAUAAUAGGAUACCGCUUAUCAAAAGUUGGCCUCUAAACUCACCCGCUGACAAGACAAUGGCCUCGAGGCCUGUUUAGCCAGUGGGGGACAGAGAAAGGGACCGAAUAUAUCGAUUGACACAAUCUCUUCCUAGAUUGCUGUGACAACACGGAGAGGUCCCGGAUGCGAUGUUUACUGUGUCAACUGGGUGAGAGCAGAUUGACAUUUUGUAGUAACGCCAUGCCAAGAGUAAUGUGGAAACUAUGUGUCAAUAUUUCCGAAACUGUAGCGGUUUAUGCAUCUCGUUUUGAUGGGCGGUUUGCCUACCACUUACAUUACGGCCAGUUUGGAGUGUUUUCGUUUCUAGUCAAAUACUAACUCUCCAAUUCCAAACUGCAUUAUUAGUAUAGAGUAGGACCACGCCUAAAUGCCAAUCAAUCUCCCCACGCAUGGCAGAAACGUCUGGUCCUGGGGAAAAAAGAAAGAAAGACAGAGAAAUGCGGUUUUUCUUUCUUCGGCUGGCCAGGCGAGCGCACUUUUCAAACUCAAGGCCACCUUUCUCCUCUACCACGCCCUUAAAACGACCCAUAUUUCUCGCACCGUUUGACCUCGCUUCCAAUCGUUAUCGUGUUUAUCUCUCGGAAAAAUUACCAUUACGUAUUCUUUUCUAGACCCGCACAUUUAAAAAAAGAAACGGUUGGUGAGGCGACUCUCAUUGCAAACAUUGCCAUUAGUCCAGAACAGCAAUGCUAAUUGCUCUCUAUCCGACUUGGCCUACCUCGAAUCACUCACUCGGCCAGCUUACCACUAAAAUAAUAAUCUAAUAUUAAUAGAAACAGACCAUGGUUUGCAGUCGACUUCACUGGCUAGUUUAGCCACAGAAAAUUGCUACAUUUUUACCAAGGCCAAAAAAAGAGAGAUUAACUCUGUGGACAUUUCGAAUUUUUAUGUUUUGAAAGCCCGAAUUUUCUGUUCAAAUUAUACCAAUCGGUAAAUGCUGUUAGGUAAAGCGAUUAAUACAUAUUGGAUUUACCUAAGCUGAAGAUUGAUUGGGCAAAACCCUUAUAACAAAUAGGUGAUUAUAUUGCAUAAAUGGUCUUGGCAGACUAUAUCUGUCAUGCACGGGUGUGUGGCUGGCCAAAGGCGGGCUGUACUUGGAAUAGAUGCGCCAUCAGUUGCAAAACCGGUUACGUAGCGAGCGGCAGCUGUCGUUUAGAAAGGUCAUCUGAUAUUAUAUUCGACCUUCUGGCCUGGGAGAAGAAUUCGGACUUGUAUACAACUAUUCGGAUUUCGGCUUGGCCGAUCUCCCACCUAACAAAAUCUACAUAGCACCACCUACUUCGGAAACAUUCGUCUUGGUUAAACGUAUAAAUUUUUUUUUUAAUUUCCACGGAAUUCUAGGUAAAUGGUGAUAGUUUUAACAGAUUUUUCCGUCUUCGUUAUGUAAGAAUCAAAAAUGAUUGUUUUAAUGCAGAAAUUCCGGAUUUAUUUCUAGGUUGUCUCUGGCGCUAUAUAGUUAGCAAUAGGCAAAUUUUCGGCCAGGUGAUUUGGUAGUUGAGCCAUCGAGAAUUGUUGCCAGCAUAAAAAUAUCCGUCUGGAUACACCACAUCUCUAUUCUUCCCGCGAAUUAGCUUUGGGAGCUGUAAAGGGACCGAAAUAAUUUCAAGGACGCAAUGAGCAUUUCUAACUUUAACAAUAGCUCGGGUUAAUAAGCGAUCAAUCACAAUGAAGUCAUAUUUUGCUUCUUGGAUUUCUUCUCUGUAAUUAUUUAAAUCGCAUUCUGGAAUUUUAAUUCGAUUGGCCCAGCGCUUUAUGGGAACAGCCUGACUAGAUAAAGAGUUGGCAAAUUUUGUCUAAGAAAACUCUUCAUUAUCGAAAAAUCGUUGGUUAAAAAAAGUAACCAGGUUUCUUUUUCUGUUCUCCACAGCGCUAUCAUUUUAGCUCGUUUUUUUCUACGCCAACCAAAG